UGGAGCAUCAAAAUUGAUUUUCUAGUUAGAAGAAACAGAUAGGAAAAAGUCUGUAAAUUAGCUUUCGGUAAGGCUAGCAACAACCACACUCAAGCUAGCAUUAGCCUUGAGUGCAGUUACUGUGACAUGACUGUCACCUCCGUCUGAUUGGUUUAUACUUCUGUGUGGGAUCAACUCACAGCCUACGCCAUCAUGUGCAUUUACACCUGUGUGUUGGUGUGUCUGUGUCGCCCUGCAAUUACAUCAGCCAAACACUGGCUGGCUGGCAACACUGGCAACAGAUACUUUUACUGAAAUUACUGUGACGCAGAAAAGAGAGGGCCGAGCGGACCAAUCAGAGUUGUUGCUGUCUGCGCUGCUGCAAUGUGCAAUUACAAUUCUAGGAAGGUGCACAUCAGACUACAUCAUAGUCUACAGAGCAGUAUCUACAGCGUUGGUUCAAUGUAGAGGUAGAAAUUGGCUUUUACAGUUUCUGUUAGUUUUACAUGCUUUUUGUUUGAUUGGUGCCAGAGAUAAAUGACUGAAUAAUGAAUUAGUAAUGAUCUAUUUCCACAACUUUUUAUGUUGAGCAUCAAAAAAUGAAACAACAUCUGUUUAGCCUGAAGCUAUACAAGUGUAUUGCCUGCUUAUGAAGUUGCCAUCCACUCCACACAGUGUAGUCUGAGGAGCAGAGAGAAACAAAAACCAAACAGAACAAAAUCUGUCCACAGUCCAUCCGGUAUUUCAAGGGUUACAGCGAGGUGAAGACUGCCAAACGGCUGCAGAAGCUACUAACAUCUCUAAAGGCUGCGUUGUUUACAGAAAGGAGGAUAAGAACGCUGUUGUUUCCAUUUCAGCACUUCGUCAAAAUUACACUCUCUUCUCGAGUCCAUCUGAGUUGUUGAAAAUUACCAACAAGACUACGAGCAGGAGAGGUGGAUUUAAGUGCCACUCUGUAGUUAAAAGAGGACGAUGAGCGACAGAGGAGCUGGGGCAAGAUGGUAGAUCCAUUUCAAACAAAGAUACAGGAGAGCAGCACAAGCCAAACUGCUCCUGUCUAACCUCAGAGAGAAAAUGUUCUCUCGGGGAAUGACUCAAAAGCUAAAACCAAGAGUUGACAUCUUGAAAAGGGGGAUGAAUAUCGACUUGAUUCCCUGCCUUUCACUCUACAUGCAAAAGAUGGUGUGAGUUUGAGUGGGCUGGAUAUCACAGUUUCACACGGAUAGCAAGUAGCGCUGCUGCUGCUGCUGCUGCUGCCUGCAACAAUGAGUCACGACAGUACUUCAAUCUGCCUCAUAUUAAUAACAACAUUUCUUACCAUCCACAGCUCUCCGCAGAGGGACUCAUAACAACCUGCCUGCUGUAGCUCCACUCAGGAUUCAAGGUACUGGUCCAGCACCAAGUUUAGCUGGCACCAGUUACUAGCAGACUGCGUAGAUGCCAACAAAUUGAUGCUACAAAAGGUUUGGUCAGCACAGCACAUACAUCACUCUACUUAUUGCAUCUACACAGUCUCCAAUUCCUUACUCAUCCUGCUGUAUGUGAAUCUACCCUCAGCUGGAUCUAUACUAAUGCAGUCAGGAUUGACAACAGUAUUAACAGCGUUUAGCAUGCAUCUGACUGUCCACAGUGGAGUAAAAAGAAAAGCCACAACAUGUUAGUAAGAGUAACAUGGAGCAGGGCUGACAAUAACUGAACUGGAGGUUUUGGAGAGUGAUGUAGAGGACAACUAACUUGCUUACAUUCAAUAAAGCAGAGACCACUUUGUGCUGUCUUUGGAUGGAUGUGAGAGGAGGCACACGGAGGGGCACAAAUAAGGCAUUAGGGAAAAUAUUGCAUGGAUUGGGCCAGACUGUGCGGCCCCCAAAAUAACUUAACUCCGGAUAAAGUGGCUCCGGUCCAAAUAUCAGUGAGGAGGACCACUGCAACGGUAUCACAUGCGACUGGACCACAGAACCUACAAAUGCCUCAUUAGGCUAAUUGCAGAGCUAUUUUCCAUUAAAUGUCUCUUGAUGUCCAGCUGAACGCGGUCGAUCGUCCCGGCUCUUUGACUUAAAAAUAAAAAGUGCUGUGAUUUCUUCAACAGGGAAAACAUCUUGUUUAUUUCCACAAAUUAUGACCACACGUUAAAAGGCCUACCUCAAGAAUUUCAUAUUCAAAAUGAAGAUAAAAGUAUAAGAACAGCUUGAUAGGUUGUUAUUUUCGCAUAUGUCAAAAACAGAGAUUGCACAUUGGCUCAUUUUUCACUGUAGAUGAAAACUGUACAUCUGUGCUGAUUGAGAUAGCGAGCAGCCGUCCACUUCCUCAUCCACAUGAAACACUGGCCCGGAGUACCCCUGGUGUCCUGCGGUGCCAGAGAUAGAGAAGAGUGCGGCUCUGUGAAUCUCUGGCUCGCCAUCUCUCCUCCAUCAAACAUUAACCUUGGGAGGAAUGCAAUGAGUCAACUCGGGCCAUAAAGAGACACAGGAAGCAUUUAAUUCCCAGCCCUCACACUGACUGCAUUAUUGGGCUGCUGGAUAAGGGCUCCUUAGUCUUGUCUGAGUAAGAGACAUGUAGAAUGGGGCAUCCAUCUAAGAGCGCAGGACCUUUCAGAGACAGGAAAAGGAGGCAGGAGAGACGGGCUAAUGGCUAGGGAGGGAGGAAAAUUAAGUCCAGGCACUGGCUAAAUUCUGGUAAGAUAAGAACACCGGGUUUACUCUCACAGUUACCGCAAACCAAUGAGCACCACGAUGGCCGACCUGAUAACUAGCCAAGUACAUUCCACGCAUGCCAUUACACUAGAAGCAACAGGAGGAAAAAAAAGGCAGCAAAACAACAGAAGCGAGACUGGAGGUUCUGGGAGACUACAGCAGUGUACUUUCUAUUUGUUCAUAGAAAACUCUGUUCAGAAGCAGAAUUACACUGUGAAAUGCUGAGGACCUGUGAUCACGGCUGGAGCUCACUCCUUCAAAUGAAGACGUCGCACAUCGAUCCACGCAGCUCAUGUACGCGGGCACAGAUUCAUGAUUGCUCCAAGGGUCAGGGUGAGGCAGUGAGCUGCUCCAACUGUGAUUUCAUAAAGAUUUCUGCUCGGUUAUCUGGAAUGAGCCGAGCUGCGCCUUUCACCUCUUGUACAAUACCCCCACCCCCCACCCCAAAUCCCCGAAAACAAAAGAAGAAAAUCCUUUACACUGCCAGAGAUUCCUCACAGUCACAGUCACAAAUACAUCUUCUGCCUUUUCACAGAGACAGACACAGAUUUGUUGUUUUCAUCUCAUCACGAGUUUCCACUUGAGCUUCAUUUUACACUCUGCCGUCACACAGCCACACGUCAAGUUGACACUGCAGCGCUACCUUACAUGGGGUGCGAACAAAAAGCACCACACUGGGCUUCUUCAGGACGCGGCUGCUGCAUCCCAUGUUUGCUGCAUUAAUAUUACAUAAGGCUCGUGGCGCACAUGCAGGCAAGAAAAAAAAAAAACUACAUAUUUCUACAUCAGCAUUUUCCAUGACAAAAUAUGUUGUGUGGCUGCAAGGUGUGGUCCUUGAAAAUAAUUUAUAAAGAUGACAUGUGUGAUGAAAAUGAUGGGUUUGUCUGCAUUUGGUGCAAAAUGUGAUCAUCUUCCCAGUCACUAGCCAGCAUCAGCAACAAUGUGCAUUUGUGUAGUUUAUCAGAAGACUGAAUUUAUAUUGAUGUGGGCAAGCAUCUCAGACAGAGCUAGUAAAGUGCUCUAUUUCAGAAUAUGAAUUCAGACAGACGCAUUUUCUUCCAAUAAAAGGCGAUUGACCACCAAGAGAGAGAGAGGCAGCUGGUGCCCUCUGGCCUGCCCUGUCUCUCUGGCAUGUCAGGCCUGUCAAACAGGACUCUGAAUUCACUUUUUAGCUUCAGGUGCCUGUAUCACUUCUUAUGGGCUAUUUUCAUUCUUUAACACGUCCACAGACGAGCACAAGUCACUGCAAAAAUCUUCAGCGUUAAGAACCCUGCAGUUCUGCUGUUGAAUCUGGUCAGUAGCCAAGUCACAUUUAUUUGUAUGGCACAUUUAAAAACAGGGGUUGACCCAUCGUGGCAGAUAAACAAGCAACACAAGUAUAAAUAAAGGGAUACGUAGUGAAAUCACUAUUGAAGGAGGAGAAAUGAAAUCAAAUAAAACUAGCAACAGAUUAAGAUUAAGUACAAAGACAAGUAAAUAGAAAAAAAACAAGAUAAAAAUCUACUGACAAUAGAUAUUGACAUAAUCAAGAGGUGAUCUCAGACUGACUACACAAAGUGAAAAAGAAAGGUCUGAUUUAAAAUAGUCAACAGAUAAUGGUGCAAAAUAAAAUUAUAUAACUUGAGACAACACUGGUUUACAGUGCUGUAAAUAAAAUCAGUGUGAUGCUGAUAUAUGGUUUCUCAAAAUGAAAAAGUCUGUUGUCAUAUCCAAAAAGAAAAAAGUACACAGAGCAGUACAGUCAAAUACUACAUGUGGAUGUAGAUACACAGCGUAUGAAGAAGUACAGAAAAAAACUAUUGCUCUUUAACCAUUUAAAACAGGAAAACACUGUCAUGUGAAUAACAACAAGCCAGAUUACAUCACACCAAAUCACCACAUCACACAAGAGCAGUGUGAUCUGGUGAGUGUACCAAUUUACAACUCUGACAGACCGGCGACCUCAGAUUUACUGUAAAACUGGGGGAGGCAGGCAACCUCAUGGCACAAACCAGGCAGCUGUCCCGCACACCCACGAAGCCAGACGAAGGCCGCGAGUGUGAAGUGAAUGGAGGAAGGAGAGGGGAAUUAACAGGCCCAACGAGGCAGCACAGAGAGAGGGGGAGAGAGGCUCUGGUGUGGGUCCAACCGGGACAGUGGGGCAAAGCUCAGAGGAACAGGGUUUAGUUAAUAAACAUGGCUCCCUACAGACUCUCUCACAGGAAAAACACAAACCCUUUUCAACUACUAACUAACUAUUGUCUGUGCGCAGUGAAUAUCUGACAUGAGCUGUCUUUGCGGUGCUUCUACCACAGUCUGUAUUAAACCAAUGAGGAUGGGGCUGAUUCUUUGUGGUGUACUGUAACACCCUGGUUACGUGAGAAAGGAUGUGAGCUGUUGUGUAGCACUAGUUUCUCUGUGAACUGGUAUUUUUUUAACAUUCCCAGGGCUUUAAAUGUCUUUGUCAAUAUCUUCAGAGCAGCAAUACUCUGUAACCAGUACUUAUAUUUUUGGCGAGGAAGCAUGUGCUCUGCUUUUUUGUACUUUCCCACUCUGAGGCGCACACUGAGAAGGGCAAAAAUAACUGCAGCUUGGGGGUGGAUGUAGUAUCGACUGAGGAAUGACGGUGACUCCCUUUGCUGAAUUUCUGAAUGCCUCGGUAUGUGUACGUUUGUGCACGGUUUGGUCCUUCUUAUUGCUGCACCACUGAGCUAAAUAUGCCUCAGGCUUUUUGCCAUUAGUGAAAGUAAACAUGAGAUCACAGUAAUAAGUCAUCGAACUGAGGCAGGAUAAUUCUAGGCUGCUCCACCGUCAGAGAAAUAAUCGAAUGACACACGCCACACAAUCUUGUUCCUUGUUAAAAGCUUUUCCUUAAGAAAUACAAGAGAGGCUUUCUGUCCCGUGAAGGCUCCACGUUUCAGUCUGCACCCGCAAGAAGCCACCUUACACCCUGAGUCACCUUCAACCUUCUCCCGGUGUCAAAUUAUGGCUGCUGACAGAUACUUCUGGCAAGGAGAUACCCUAUGGAGCAGGGAUUUCCCCAUAAUUGGAGGGCUGAUGAAGCGCACUGGAGCGGUGCCCGGCCUGCACAGGGCGUAACUCGACUCAACCUCGGUCGUCGUCAGGCCCAGAAAAGAUCUGUGCCAAUCAGUAUAGCACAGUGACAUCAACAGAUCAAUAUCACAGUAUUGAUAAGAGGAUUGUUUCUGAAAUAAUCUAAUUUUAGUUCAAUAUAAUUUACAGUCUUCCAAAUCUCUGCAGACUUGUAAAGCAAAAACAAACAUCGCUCUUUAAACACAAUUUGCUUGAAGUCUUUAGGAAGACAGAUUAUUGUGUAAAGCUACAACAUAAACACAAUGCACAAUGCACACAUCUACGUGAUUCCACUGAAUUUACCCUGUCCAAAUAAACACUGCUUUAAAGUCUGCAUGUCGUGUAUACUCUACUAAUUAAAAAUAAAUACACUUGCCUGGUGUGAGCUGCUAAUCUAACUAGAAACCCAAACAAACUGGGAUGGUUUCAGUGCCAAAAUAAAGUUAGUCUAAGAGCUUAAACCUACUAGAAAUGGACCACAAACCAGUUUAGUGUCAGUUAAUUAAAGCUGAAGUGAUCGGUUGAUUAAUCAAACUAUAGAUCGACAAAAAAUUAAUCAACAAUUACCUUGAUAAUCGAGUAAAAACGACACUUUCUGCUUUCAGCUUCUGAAAUGUGGACAUUUCCUGGUUUUCUCUAACUGUGAUUGACAUUUUUCACCAUGAUUUUUGAUAGAAUAAAUGAAUCAAUAAUGAAAAUAAUUAGUUGCAGCCUAUAGCUGAUUAUUUAAGUCAUUCAUCAAGCAAAAAUAGCAUAAAUUAAUUUGUUCUAGCGUUGUUUUUUCAGACAAAACUCACAAUGUGAAGACAUGUUGAGGCCAUUUUCACUAUUUUCUUCUGAGAGUUUAAAGAAUAAAUAAUGAAGUGAAUAACUGAUAGUAAAAUAAUCGUCAGUCACAGCCCCAGUGACUUUCACUACCGAGAUAACACACGACAGACUGACUAGAGCUGUGACCUAUCACUGGCUAAGCAAAUCAGCUUGAUUGAGUCAAUCAAUUGAUCGUCAAUGACCGCUCAACUGGAGUCUGAUUGUGAACGACAGCAGCCUAUGCAUUACACAGACACGGCACAUCAACAGCGGGGCAAGUCGGGCAAUGCACAGUACAGUUUCUGUUAUCGCUCCAGCAGAGAGGAGUGGCUCUGAGCGUGACCUAACAGGCUGGCUGGACGACAUUCCUACAAGCCCUGGGGUUCGCCUUCCUCCCAAGCAGCGACAUAAGACACAGCUCCAACUGUUUUCCAUUCAACGUCUGUACAACCGACAAGAAAAAAGAAAAAAAAAAAUCCUGGGAGGAGACUGAGUAUUCACUGGGUUGUGAAAUCGCUUUGUGGAUAAAUCCUAAAGGGCUUUUAUCUGAAACCACACAUCACACCUUCUUAAAACAUGCAAGAUUAACGUGUCCGGUUUUGAUUCUGUGGUUAAAACACAUGGUGGUGAACACUACUGAGGCUCUAUGGCUGCUACAGCUUUUCAUUAUUCAUACAUGUCUUUAUUUAUGUCCAUUUCAGUGAUUUUCUUUCUCCCUCACAGUGGUUCCUUCACUGAACAUUAAUCCACCAGUACUGUAUAUGUUUGCAGUACAUCCACAUCCCUCAAGGACACUACAAGGUUACAUCCUGUGUGGAUUUUCGAAGCUUUUCAAUUCUCAAUUCACUAUUAUUGUUGUGAAAUAGUGCAGCACUGGCACAUAAAGAUGCUCUAUUCAGAGGAAUCCUGCGCAACAGUGAUUAGAGUACAAUUAUGAGUUAAGCUGGAAGUUUUAAAUGGUCUAUGGAGGCUCAAUGAUGUUCAAAACACCAGCCAGCCUCACAUUUAUGGUUUGAUGCAAUAAAAACAAAAACUCAAAUUGAGCGCGCACCAUUUUGCCGCCACAAACAAACCACCCAAUGAGCCAUUUAGCAACCUCUCUGUGCUCUGCCGCAGUUGCUGCUGCUGCUCCGCUGAUAAGCUUGCUUCAUGACAGCAGACAGGAAGCUUAAUACACAGGCCAGACUGAAAGCGCUGCAUGAGGCUGAUGAGUCAAACCCCUACUACAGCGAUCGGGGGAUACGUCACCGAGCUAAAAACAAUGCAGUGUCUCCCUCUCGUCUCUUUGUUAUAGCUGAGGUCAGUCUGUCGAUGGAGCUGCCCACUCCCCCCCCACCCCUCUUGAAAAAGUCAAGUGCUGGCUCUUGAUCUGUGAUCCAAUAUCACUGAAACAACUGGGUAAAAAUGAUGGGGGUUGGGUCAAAUUGAUAGGGCACAGAGAUUCAAGUUUAACAGCAAUAAGCUGUAACAAUGCCCACUCAAAUUCUGGAUAAAAGAGUGGUCUGGUACACAAUGUCCAAAGUCAUUUCCCCCAACUGAAUGUAGGCUGGUGACGACAGUUUCUCAAUUUAGGGAUCAGUUAAAGCCACAAAUAUACAAGUCACAGGGCUCCACAUAUUAUAAAAAUUAUCCAGAACAACAUUCCCAAAUGAAAACGACCACAGGUUAAAACUGAAUAUUACAUGAUGGAGAGAAAGUUGUAAUUUUAGUGACCACAAGAAAACAAGGACUUCAGAGUGAACUUGGGUAUUUGCAGGGCAUGAACUUCUAGUUAAAACAAACUAAACAUCAAGCAUCCCAGUUUUUGUGAGGUUUCCCUUUAGAAAAAAUGUAGUUCACAGGAGCAAAACCUACUGCCUUGAAUAGCUGACUUAUUUGGCCACUAGCUAAGGGUCAGAUAUACCAAUUAAAAGCACUGGGAUCUUUACCAAAGACAGACACGGCAGCAUUUUUGAAUUUCUCCUCAGGAGUGGCAGUGACAUGGCAGCUAGCUUAAGAUAAGAUUCAUAAACAAGACAUAAUGUCUCCACAGAGUCUUCUGUGUGUUGAAUGCUGUCUGUUAACACCGACAGCUAUGAAGAGGUAAAAAAGCACUUGAGAAAAGUACUACAUUUCCCACAAGUGUUUUUUUUUCAGGGUUUAGGUUUUAAGUCCAUUAAAAAUCAAGGCGGGGUGCUAUACGUUUAGCUAUAAGGAGGCAGGUAACGUUAGCCGCUUCUGUACUACGCUUAUACACUACACUUUAACUACUUUGCUAGUGAUUGUAUCUGUCAGUUGGUCGUUUAAUUACCACGCUUUUUUAUAUAAACAUACUAUACAAGUCUGUCUUUCAACUCCUCAAGGCGGCAAGCAAGUUUAGUGGUUUCAGUCACAGUAAGGAGGUCUCAAACAGUCGUCGUGUAGUCGGGUCAAGGGGGGCGCUACAGCUCCUUUAGCUCCUGUGCUAAAGCUAACAAGCUAGCCCGGUAACCAGAACAAUCAAACACAGAAACUCGGCGCGAGUUACUAGAAAGGCCCCGGUAGUGGCACCGAUAUGCGAUCACGAAUACAUUAGAUGUGG